rnacentral:rRNA from 1 species
GACGAACGCUGGCGGCGUGCUUAACACAUGCAAGUCGAACGAUGAACACCGGAGCUUGCUCUGGUGGGAUUAGUGGCGAACGGGUGAGUAACACGUGAGCAAUCUGCCCCCGACUCUGGGAUAACCCCGAGAAAUCGGAGCUAAUACCGGAUACGACACCUCCUGGCAUCAGGUGGGUGUGGAAAGAAUUUCGGUUGGGGAUGAGCUCGCGGCCUAUCAGCUUGUUGGUGAGGUAAUGGCUCACCAAGGCGACGACGGGUAGCCGGCCUGAGAGGGUGACCGGCCACACUGGGACUGAGACACGGCCCAGACUCCUACGGGAGGCAGCAGUGGGGAAUAUUGCACAAUGGGCGCAAGCCUGAUGCAGCAACGCCGCGUGGGGGACGAAGGCCUUCGGGUUGUAAACCUCUUUUGGCAGGGAAGAAGCGAAAGUGACGGUACCUGCAGAAAAAGCACCGGCUAACUACG